rnacentral:pre_miRNA from 1 species
AGAUAAAUCACCUGGGGGUCUUGUUAAAAUGCAUAUCUUGAUUCAGCAGGUCUGGGGUAGGAUCUGAAAAUGGAGUCUUGAUCACUAACAAGCUCCUAGGUGAUGCCAUU